UACGUAGGUGGCAAGCGUUAUCCGGAAUUAUUGGGCGUAAAGCGCGCGUAGGCGGUUUUUUAAGUCUGAUGUGAAAGCCCACGGCUCAACCGUGGAGGGUCAUUGGAAACUGGAAAACUUGAGUGCAGAAGAGGAAAGUGGAAUUCCAUGUGUAGCGGUGAAAUGCGCAGAGAUAUGGAGGAACACCAGUGGCGAAGGCGACUUUCUGNGUCUGUAACUGACGCUGAUGUGCGAAAGCGUGGGGAUCAAACAGGA
rnacentral:rRNA from 1 species